CAGAAUUGAUUUCCUUUGGGCUCCCAAUGUCACAGGGAGCUGUACUAUUACCCUGGUGAAUACCUACAGACAUCCAGUUUCCUUCAAAAGAGCUAACCUCUUUGAAGCCUACAAGACUAAGGGCAGACUUUUUGCAAAUCUCAGGUAUCCUACUAAGGUGAUCCAGCUGGUGGUCAGGUUUUUGAGACCUCAUACUGAUCACCCAUGGGACACCCUUUCUGAUGAGAAUUAGAGGACUGGACUUGGGCUCCCUUGUUGUUUUGCCACUGUUGGACACGUGUGCUACCCAAGGUAAAACAAGAGACUAUUCCCAUGACUAUGGGUAAGCAUUUAGUUUCAUAUAGGAUGGCUGGCACAUAGUAUGGCUUUCAGGCUUGCUGUGAUUGUUGAGAGGCAUGGAUCCUUGUUAGUAUUUAUGUAUCCACCACCACAGAUAUCAGGCCUUGGAAAGUCUUUGGGAUUUUCUUUUCAAGGAAGAAAGAUUUCUUUUACAAGACACUGCAAGGACCCUGGUCACAAACCAAG
rnacentral:lncRNA from 1 species